AAGUCGUAACAAGGUUUCCGUAGGUGAACCUGCGGAAGGAUCAUUAACACUUUCUUUCAAUACCAACCUUGGCGCUCCCUGCUUGGCCUUCGGCUACGUCUCGAAGGUGCUCUUAUUUCGAUAAGACUCGUGGGGAAAAUAUAUGAGUCUGAUUGGGUUAAGGUCAUUGGAUCGGGCUGAAUCUCUUCGGGGAUUGGUUCAGUGACUUCUGCUUCGAGCAGAGACUUAGCUCUUUUGGAUAUCAGCCCCAACCCGGCUGGCCCUUUUUUUUUUAACUUGCUAGAUUGUACUGAUUUGGGCUUUUCAGAUUGAGAGGAGCAAUCCUUUCUCUGGAGUCCUUAUGGAGAAAUCCAUUAAAUAACAAAACACAACUCUUAACAGCGGAUAUCUCGGUUCUC
rnacentral:misc_RNA from 1 species